rnacentral:rRNA from 1 species
UACGUAGGGGGCUAGCGUUGUCCGGAUUUAUUGGGCGUAAAGAGCGUGUAGGCGGCCAGGUAGGUCUGCUGUGAAAACUCGAGGCUUAACCUCGAGAUGUCGGCGGAAACCAUCUGGCUAGAGUCCGGAAGAGGAGAGUGGAAUUCCCAGUGUAGUGGUGAAAUACGUAGAGAUUGGGAAGAACACCAGUGGCGAAGGCGGCUAUCUGGACGGUUUCUGACGCUAAGACGCGAAAGCGUGGGGAGCAAACAGG